GGGUGCGAUCAUACUAGCACUAAUGCACCGGAUCCCAUCAGAACUCCGUAGUUAAGCGUGCUUGGUCGAGAGUAGUACUAAGUUGGGUGACCACUUGGGAAGUCCUCGUGUUGCACCCCUUU
rnacentral:rRNA from 1 species